CGGUUUUCUUGCUUUGUUGGGUUUCUAUUAGGGAUGUUCAUUUUAACCGGUUAACCAUUAACCGACCGUUAAGAAUUUUGACUGAUUAAUACAAUCAGUUAAACGGUUAAAAAAGUAAUUCAUUUAUUUAUUUUCAGUAUUUUAUCAAAAUAUUUAAAAAGGUUUGCUGCAUGGUUAAAAUAUUCUACGUCUAUAAAAAUUGUUUUUUAGAGGAAAAAAAAAAGUCGCUUAUAAGUCGGAUUUCAUUAUUUCAUUCAUAAAUAGGCCUAAUACAGACGCGAAAUGUUUACAAAUGUUAUAAUAAACUGUCAACAUAGCUAGGCUAAUUUAGUUCCCCUCACUCCACAACAAAUCCUUUUAAUUAUUAGUAUUUAGACAAGAACAAGAAUUAAAAAUAGGCCUUUAAGAAGUUAUAGCAAUGUAAAUGACAAGCCAAAACGAAUUCAUUUAGGCUAAAAUGAAACUGAAACCAAUGUUGGGUCUCUCAUUCGACACAAAAUCAAAUGUUUCCAUAUUCGCGAUGUAUUUGAAUGCCAAAUUAUUAAUUAUUAUGUAGCCUACUUCACUCGCGUUCCAAUAUCCAUGUAAAACAAAAUGUUUUGCAUAACAUCACGGUGGUACGGUGAUAACACUUAACAGCACAGAUUUGACUACAUAUUUAAACUGAGCAGUGUGGGGGGGUUUUCCAUAUGUUUGACUGACUAUAUUUUAUUAUGAUAAUGAACAGGCUGCAUUGUCAAGGUAGCAAAGCUUAACUGUGUGCGCGCAUGCAGUGACAGCGCAAUCACUUGAGUUUUUUCCUUCUAACAGUGGAAGCAACUACUCCUUUUAGUCAUAAAGAUAAUUGGAAUUGUAAAUGGUUUGCCUUUAUUUGUGUACAUUCACAAUAAAAACAAAUCUUUGUGAGUAAAAUAAGCUAAAGAAAAAAGGAUGCCGCUUUCUGCCGUCUGGUUUCCUCUCGCGCAGCACAAAAAUGAACUGAAACUGCAUUUUUCGUUCAUUUUUUAAUUUAUUAUUUAAGCCUAUUUAUUCAUGUGUAUAUAUAUAUAUAUAUAUAUAUAUAUAGCCUAUUUUUAUUAUGUUUUUAUCCGCUCGCAGAAGCGCUGCAGGUGCGUGAUGUGAUAUGAAGACCAAGUGAAUCCCCAUGUUCUGUUGUUUGCUGCUUUUUUGCGCAUGUAAAAUUAAUCCCCAGGAAACAAAUGUUAGUAUUUUUAAUGGUUCGGUGACACUUAUCCUUUCUAAUUUAAUUCAAUUAUAAUUUAAAAUAAUCUUGUCAGUUAAUGGUUAAUAAUCGGUUAACGAGUGUCGGUUGUCUGUUAGGAAAAAUAACUGAAAUGAACAUCCCUAGUUUCUAUAAUGAAUAAUUUUUUUCUCACUGUCAGCGUUUUGCUGCGCAAACACACUAAUCGUAAAACCUUAUGCUCAAAUCAUUUCUGAAGUGAACAAAUGUGUGCAAAAUUAACUGCAUUGUGUGCAAACAGGUAUUGAAUGUAAUUUACAGAUUGCCUUAAAACAACAUGAAGUGACAUUUGCAAUCCAUUUAACUUCUGUAAUAUUCAGUGGGGAAAAACUUGAUUUUCUUAAUCAAAAUUUGAGUGUAUCACGAUUUGAUGUUAUUAGCUAGUAUUCAUUUCUCAUUCUUACCUUGGUGAAGUCUGCAGGAAAGAAAAAGUCCACAUUUAAUACAUUUUGAUAAAACAUUUUAUCAAACAUACUGCACAAUAAUGAAGAUAAAUUGGUUCAUGUUGUCUUUAAAUUCACUGUUGUGUGGUUAUCUAAGACAGUAUGUCUUUUGUCAUCCAGUUCUGUCUGAUUCUUCCAGACGUGUGACCAAACCCUACUCAUUGAUUCUUAUUACAAGGUCUGCGAUUGGCCGUCUAGCCUUUUGGCCCCUGUACACAAGAGUGGACCUCUGAUGAACAUGACCUACUGGUUUCAGACCGCUGUCGACUUUAACAGGGCCACAGCUGCAUCAGGAGCCACCAGAAGUUAGCGUGGUGAUGAGGUGCUGAGAUUUAUGACAGAUGAAUAAGAGUAAUCUAAGCGUAGCAGACAGAGGUGCUAUUGAUCUGUCUGGAGUCAGGGCCACACUGCUGCUGAUGACACUUUUUCCAGUCGAUACGCAUUUGACCUCUGACCCUGAAAGAGAGAUCAAUGAGUUCGAUUUGGAUGGGCGGGGCCUGUGCGCUGGGCCGUCAGCCAGUCAGACAAAAUGUUAUAGCGGUUAAAGACUUGCAUUCAGCAGACCUAAACGCUGCGUGACUGUGCACUCAAAUGGUCUCUGUAAGAGUCUUCUGAGUUCUUAUGAUUGUAAGAUGUUGAUGAAACUAAAACCUAUAAAAUCAUUCUGAAUUGUUCUGAAUUUGAUAGUGUUUAGAUGAUUGAUAAGGUAGCAUCACUAUUAGAUUUGAACAAACUGUUAACUGUUAAUGUUAAAGGGAUAGCCUAGUUCACCCAAAAAUGAAACUUCUGUCAAUAAUUACUCACCCUCAUGUCGUUCCAAACCCGUAAGACCUUUGUUCAUCUUCGGUACACAAAUUCAGAUAUUUUUGAGGAAAUCCAAGGAAAUUUCUGACCCUGCAUAGACAGCAAUGCAACUGAAACAUUCAAGGCCCAGAAAGGUAGUAAGGACAUUGUUAAAAUAGUGGUUCAAGCUAUGAUAAUACAUUUUGUGUGCAAAGAAAACAAAAAUAAUGAUUUCAUUCAACAAUUUCUUCUCUUCCUUGUCAGUCUUCAAAUAUCAAUCAUCAAUAAUAUCUUAAUUUGUGUUUCGAAGAUGAACGAAGGUCUUAAUACUUUUAAAAAUAUUUUACUAUACUUUUUUAAGUAGCCUAUUACACAUCAAUGUGUAACUUAUAACACAUAUGUUUAGGAAUGACAUCUCAAAUUGCAUGGCAUUUUGAGGAGACAUGCUGUGUGCCUUUUCUAAGUGAUCAGAUAUACUAUUUUUAACUUGCAAACAAUAAAAUGCUUGGAAAGCCAUAGACGUGUGGCAAAAAAGGGACCUUUUUGCCUUCCUGUUGCUCAAACUGUAGAUCAUGGCACUAGCAGGGUCAUAGGUUUCAUUCCCAGGAAAAGCAAGGAUUGAUCAUGUAAAUAUAGACUUCAGGUUGGCUUUUUUGAUUUCAGCUCAUGUUUUCUUCACAAAAUAUAAAACUGUAGUUUAAAAAUGUUUUGAUGUGAUUAAAGAGAUCCAUGUCUUUGGGGUCUCAUUUUUGUAUGUGAUUGUUAAUGAGUCAUUGUGUUUUGAAAUGACUAGAAUUGUGUUCCAGGAUAUGAGAAAUAAGAGAUUUCUGAGUGGGUCUGAAGGCUUGUAAAGUCACAGUUUAAUUGGAAACGGAUGUUGAACUCAAUAUGUUUCUCUUUGUGUAGUGGUUUAUGGUGUUUUCCCUUCUGUCUAGCAUUCAUUGUGUGUUGUUGUGCGUAUGUGUGUGUGCUGUCUGGAAAUGUGUGGUGACAGCGCUCUGCUGAUGGCCUCUGUGCGUGUAUGUGUGUGUGUGUGUGUGUGUGUGUGUGUGUGUGUUGAUUGAUCACCAUCAUUCCCUUUCGGUCCCUGCUGAUCCCACCAACCUUCCCCACACACACACACUUCUCCAUCCUACAGCUUGAUAGACUUGAACCUGUAUGCUGCUGACUCGUAUCGACAAACCUGUGUUCAGAUGCUGCCCAAGACGCCUUGCGUUUAAACACUGAAUCUAUGUGGAUUUGCGAGCUCUCCCACUUUAUGUGUGUGUGUGUGUGUGUGUGUGUGUGUUUGUGUGUGUGUGUGUGUGUGUGUGUGUGUGUGUGUGUGUGUGUGUGUGUGUGUGUGUGUGUGUGUGUGUGUGUGUGUGUGUGUGUGUGUGUGUGUUUGGAGCUCUGCAUUGCAGUAGAACAGACGUGGUGAUUUUAUGCAUUAAGCUCAUAAUCAAUGAUGUGUGCGGUGGGUAGUCAGAUGGGUAGACCCCUCUAUGAUGGGGUCACGACUCUCACACACCCCCCAGUGCAAGCAGAGGGGUCAGAGGUCAUUCAGGGCCACUGCCAGACUGAUAAAGAUGCGUCUGGUGCUAGGAGAACCACAUAGGAUGUGCAUGUUGUCUUUGUUUGUUUUGUUUUUUUGUUGUUGUUUUUGUUUUUUGUGUA
ensembl:lncRNA